CACAAGCAGAAAACAUUCAAGUAGCCCGUAGCAGUCUGCACACUGCUACAAACAGAAGGAAAGUGCACAAAAGGAAAUACGACUUGGAGGACAAACACAUCUGACACGUUAUUAUUGAUUACUCCCUACCAUACAACAUGCCCUCGGCUGGUAGCAAUUACACUAACUGCCACCUCCAAAGGAGAAACUAGUAUUGCCAGUUAUGAAUGAGGUUGACUGUGAAAAGUGAGAAAAGGAGAAAGCUGGAGAUAUGACUAAGCAGUAUUUCUACAACAUUUUCAAAAGGAAAUACAUACUUUUGCUUUGGAGACAGUGAACAAGCUUAGAGUGGCUUCUGGUCAGAGUGAAUAAGGAAGCAGGGAUCUGGAUGCAUGAUCACUCUGUCUCUCUGCAGUGUCCCUCAGUUGGCAGGGCAGCCCUGUGCUACCCCCAUCUUCCUGGCAUGGUUCACUUGUGAACAUCGGAAUCACCUCACGCUGCUCCUCCCAUGCUGUUGUCUAGGAAAAAGGAGAACUUGACACUUCCUCCAACUCUCUGUG